CGCGUAGGCGGCCUGCUAAGUCGAACGUGAAAUCCCUGGGCUCAACCCAGGAACUGCGUCCGAUACUGGUUGGCUUGAAUCCGGGAGAGGGAUGUGGAAUUCCAGGUGUAGCGGUGAAAUGCGUAGAUAUCUGGAGGAACACCGGUGGCGAAGGCGACAUCCUGGACCGGUAUUGACGCUGAGGCGCGAAAGCCAGGGGAGCAAACG
rnacentral:rRNA from 1 species